rnacentral:rRNA from 2 species
GUGCAAAGGUAGCAUAAUCACUUGCCUCUUAAUUAGAGGCUAGAAUGAAUGAAUAAACAAUGAUCCCCUGUCUCAUUACAAACCAUAAAAUUUUACUUUUAGGUGAAGAGGCCUAAAUAAUAAUAAAAGACAAGAAGACCCUAUCAAGCUUUAUUUCAUAAUAUAUAAUAAAUAUUUAAAAAUUUAGUUGGGGCGACAAAAAAUAAUAAAAAUCAUUUAACUAAAUAUGAAUAACCAUUCCCAAUCCAUUAACUUUACUAUAACAAAGAGAAAGCUACUGUAGGGAUAACAGGCUAAUACCUUUCAAGAGCUCUUAUCAACAAAGGUGAUUG